rnacentral:misc_RNA from 1 species
CCGAGUUUACAACUCCCAAACCCCUGUGAACAUACCUAUACGUUGCCUCGGCGGAUCAGCCCGCGCCCCGUAAAAAGGGACGGCCCGCCCGAGGACCCCUUAAACUCUUGUUUUCCUAGUGGAACUACUCUGAGUAAAUCUUAAAAAUAAAUCA